rnacentral:rRNA from 1 species
UACGAAGGGGGCUAGCGUUGCUCGGAAUCACUGGGCGUAAAGGGUGCGUAGGCGGGUCUUUAAGUCAGGGGUGAAAUCCUGGAGCUCAACUCCAGAACUGCCUUUGAUACUGAGGAUCUUGAGUACGGGAGAGGUGAGUGGAACUGCGAGUGUAGAGGUGAAAUUCGUAGAUAUUCGCAAGAACACCAGUGGCGAAGGCGGCUCACUGGCCCGUAACUGUCGCUGAGGCACGAAAGCGUGGGGAGCAAACAGG